GAUGAAGAACGUAGCGAAAUGCGAUAAGUAAUGUGAAUUGCAGAAUUCAGUGAAUCAUCGAAUCUUUGAACGCACAUUGCGCCCGCCAGUAUUCUGGCGGGCAUGCCUGUUCGAGCGUCAUUACAACCCUCAGGCCCCCGGGCCUGGCGUUGGGGAUCGGUGGAAGCCCCCUGCGGGCACAACGCCGUCCCCCAAAUACAGUGGCGGUCCCGCCGCAGCUUCCAUUGCGUAGUAGCUAACACCUCGCAACUGGAGAGCGGCGCGGCCACGCCGUAAAACACCCAACUUCUGAAUGUUGACCUCGAAUCAGGUAGGAAUACCCGCUGAACUUAAGCAUAUCAAUAAGCGGAGGA
rnacentral:misc_RNA from 1 species